CCACCGUGCUCCUCCUGUGCGGCCCCCGGUGCCGGCCCUGCGCCGCUGGCCCCGCUCACCUCGGGCCAGGCUGGCUCAGCACGGAUGAUGGCACCCCAGCGAAGACAUCUGCAACCCCCACUGAGAGCUGCAGUGCAGCACUGCGUGUAUUUGACAAGCUGAGUUCGACACUCAGUGUGCAGAGUGUCAGUUUGUCAAAUACCCCAAGUGAGGCAUUUGCUGAGCAACGCGGCGGCACACCGAGGGGACCGGUUCCUUCCUCCCACUCGGGCAGGGGCCUUCCUGUCCGUAUUCCGGUCCUCUCCAAAAACCCAGCAAGGUAUUGAACAACACAUCCCAUCGUUACUGAACACUUGACUCCGAUCCUGUGCUGUCAGACUUCCCUUCCACCCCAAUUUUGGAAGUCCCUAUCACGGUAGUUCUCCUAAUGGCAAAUCUGUACAGAAGUGGUGCUGGCACAGUUUCUGGGCAUUGUAAAGGCAGAGAAUUGGGCCCUGGCUCCUUAUUCUUUGCAGCCAAAGACAAUGCUGUUCUCUUCCACAGCAUUAACUAGCCAGCUGUUAAUCAAUAAUCUUGCUCAGUUAACAGGGAUUCUGGCAACUGUAAUCACAACAUCAUGGGUAAGGGCAGCAUUAUCCAUAAUACAGAAUCUUUUCUUUGGACAUGUAGGAAUCUUUUUUUUAAUUUGAAGUUGGAGGACAAACUAAUAAGGCUGCUGAUAACUUCCCUAUAUCCCAUUAGCCAGUGAAAAAUGCAUGUUUGCUCAAUCUGUUUUUGAAUUAGGCCAUGGAGUCCAUCGCUUCUCCUUGAAGCCUUGUUGUUUGGAGAAGACUCCUUGUUUUGGGAUAGUUAUUCCUAGUCAGCACUUGCAGCAAGGUUGCUUAUUGCUUUUCUUGCCAUUCUGCUAUUUAGUUAAAGUAAUUCCCUCUAAAUCAUCCCACUUGAAGAUCUAAUGAUUGGUAAGCAUUUUUAGUCACUGACUUGUAGCACAUCAGAUCUGCAACUUGAGGUAUCUCAGGGUGGGGGGAAUGACAGAGGGAGAGUGCCCAACCCAGUUUGACAAAUCAAACUCUCUGAAAGCAUUUAGCAUUGAAAACUCAGAAACUAAGAAAAAAUCCCAAGACCCUCCUGACUUGUUUUAGGACAGUACCACCAGCAAAUUUUGCAAUGUUUGACAAUAUUGAUAAACUUUAAUACUAAGCUUUUGGGCUUUUUGUUGCAACUAUUUCUUGCUAAAUAUUUUGAAGAAGCUGGAGUUUGUACAAAGCUGGGACUAAUGAAUGUAUAACAUUGCCUAAGCAAAUUGUGUUCUGCUUUUUGAAUAGGUCCUAUCAGUAGGGCUUACUGUGCACUUCUGGCCAAACACGGUCUUACUUGUUAUGACUCAUACUCCUGUGGUCUCUCUCAUGCACCUACUUAUGACUCACAGACAUCACCCUGAUCUUUAUCACUGAGGUCAGCUUCAAAAGAGAACAAAGCCUAUUAUUUCAGGGUUUGUUUUGUCCCCAGUGGAUCCUAAAUGUAGCAGGCAGCUGUGUCAACCCCAGCCCUUUCUGCCAUGACAGGCCUCAAGGUUUCAACAGACCUAAACUCUUCUGCACCACAACUAGCACCACAGUGCUGGUUUAUGCUCUUCAUCAUUGUUUUCUCAUGCAUUUCCAGUUCUUGCUUUCAGUAGUUUGCCCCUCUGCUUUUUAGAUAACUCCACACCCCCUGUUCCUUUGAGAUGGCUUGGGGGAAGGGGAAGAAAAUUAACCCCUUCCUCUCUUGCAAGCAGAAAUUUCAAAUUAUGGUGGGACAAAUUUCUCUGAGACUUCCUCCCCCUACUCCCUGCUGAGAACAGCAGGUUCAGAAGGGCUCUGAAGGCCAGGGCAAGCCUGGCAAGUGUAAAAGCCAACAGGUCCCUUCCGUUAUAUGUGCACUUCAGUUGCUCUGAAGCAAGGGGAGCUGCAAGUCUCAUGACAUUGUGCUGGACACUAGAAAUAGCGUGUUUUUUGGAGGCAGUGUAGUUUCAGAGCGGAAGCUGAGGUUUCCCUUCUGUGCUGGAGCAGAGCUGGCACUCGGCAGAUGAGUCACAUCACUGGGUGAGUGACCAGCGCAAGGAAAGGAGAAGUUCUCUCGUUUGGCAGUGAUACAACAAAGCAAAGCCCUCUGUGACUGUCAGAAGAAAGAUGUUCUGUUUCCAACAGGUUUUACUACAAACAUGUCAAAAAUAUAAAUAAAAAAAUAAUUGCACACUUGCUGCAUAGGGAGAAACAACCUCAGCACUAGAGAGAUGCUUUUGUGUUUCCACUGUUCUGCUGCUUAUGAUCAAAGCCGUUUUGCUGCCCGAACUAGAGGCAGUGCCAACGUGGGGUACAUAGCAUCUGCUCCAACUGGGACAUCUGCUACCCCUGUCUUAACUCCUGUUGCCUUCUUCCUCUGCAGCUUCUCCCAGGCUUCAGGUCUUCUGAGGAAGUUGCCCAGAUGUCCUCAGAGCAGACCAGCGCUGGGAGGAAUUGAAAGUUGGAAAAAUCAUGGUGUUACAUAGUCAGGGAACUUGGAGCUGAGAGCUUAUAAUGGCAGCAAAUCUUGCAUAAAACAUUAGGCUAAUUGAAAAUGAAGGAAGAUGGGACUUGGGGGGGGGGGGGGGGAGUGCCAUGCCUUGUGUUUUGGGCCUGGAUGUGCUGAUGUGAGGCUGGGGAAGCUGAGAAGUUUUCAGUUCCCUUCCCACACAGCAUCGACCUUGCACCACACACUUCUGCCCAGCAUGAGGAUGGUUGCAGCUCCCUGUUCCCCUCAUUUCUUUUGUUUUGCACCACCUCUGAGAUCACUGACACCAGCAGGCACUGCUGGCUGCAGCCUGCCUCCCCUGGGAAGCGCAGCAGCCUGAUGCUGCAGCACAAUCAUCCCUAUGCAUCCAUUGCUGUGUUUAUGAAACCUUCAUAGUACAGGCAGGAGACAUUCCUCUCUGAUCUUGCCUGAUAAUCACCUGACAUCCCGAAGAAGCGUCAUUGUAAUUCAGAGCACUAAAGGCAAAAGUGAGGCUCUUCUUCCCAGUGCUCAGGCCAUAAAAAGCUACGUGAACCUGCUGUUAGGCUGCUGACCUGGGAAGGGAAGAUCCAUGGCAGCUGAGACAAAAGCCAUAUGGGUCCAAGUCAGUGGAGGCUGGUACUGAUUUAAUAAAAGCCAAUAACUCUUCCUAAAAAUUUGCUUUGCUAAAGCCAAGUGGCAUCCCCCCUCCCUGCCCUGGGUCUGCCUGCCAAGCCUGUAGGACAGAGGGACGCUGGCUGUAGGUCUCCGACAGACAGAGAGGGCAGAGCAUGGCAGCAGCACCCCGGCACAUGUAAGAUGCAAGUGAUUAAUACUGAGGAAGCAAACUAGGCUGUUGCAUAACAGAGCGUAUUGCAGGAAAUGCAGGCACAGCUAAGUAUGCAGCCUUGCUGCUUUUGUAAAAAGGAACUUUUCUUCUGUUUCAUUUUUGCCAGGGAUCUAGGAAUGCCCUGGGGUGGGUUUAAGCAGCGGUGACAGAUGGCAUACUCCACAGCAAAGCCUGCACCCCAUUAGCAAGGGGCUCACAGUCUGGGGGCUCCUCAUCAGGACUGCACAAAAUCCAGGGUUAGUGAAAGUGAUGGGGUUUGCAUUACAGACAGUACAGUUCUGCCCUCCUGCUUGAGAUGAAGAUCUUAGAAAUGCGAAGUAUGGCCUUGUAGCUCAGGACCCACUUGGCAAAAAAGGAAAAGCCAAAAUGCACAUUCCAAGAAGUCUUAAACCUAAUGUAGGGCAUGCAGGCUGCUUAUUUUUAAGCUGAUCUCAUGAUUUUUAGAGCAGUCAGCAACAGAAGUACCGCUGAUCUAGAAGACACAUGGGCUAAACAGCUCCAAAGCCUGCAAGCAUCAGAAGAGGAGGAAGAUAAUGGCCCCCCCCCCUCCAAUUUCUUCAGCAUACAUCUGCAGUGCUUUGUCACUUCUCCUGCCUUACAGAGGGCUCCUUCAGCUUCAGGCACCCUCUUUCAGAGGCGGUGUCUCGCUCUAAGCCCUGACAUGCUUCAGUUGAGCAGAGCUAUUUCUUUCCCCACAGGACCUCCAGUGCCACUAAUGGACCUGGACCCCAUCUCUCACCCCCCUGUUCACAAAGCAUCCCCCAUUGCUCCUGGAGGAUUAGCCUCCUCCUCCUCUCUGAGGCUGCAACUGCGGCAUGCCCAGCUGUCACCCAGGUUGGCCAUGGAGCUAUUUUCCACUUGGAAGGGAAUAUUUGAUUUGAGUCUCUGAGAGCCAAUAUAUAGGGAGUUGCAGAACUUUUUUUUUUUUUUUAAAAUAACUAACUGCUUUUUAGAGCAAACCAAUGUGUUAAGCAAUGGCAUGAAAUUAAAGAAGUCAAGGAUUUUUAACUCCUGAGCUAAAUCACAUGCAAGUUUGUAACAUCAUUUAGAUGACCUCUCUUUCCAGGCUCUUGAGCAUUAUUUAGCCUUCUGCUGGCAGUGACAGAAGACUCAGUAAUAAGCAUCCCCAGAGUCCUUCUAACCUCUGUCAGUGAUUUAGUAGCACAACACUUUACACCCUGCUGUGAGUGAUAAAUUCCUAAAAAACCCCUAGAACUAGAUGAAGCAUCUGGAGGAAAGGUGCUAACGGCAAACCUUCUGCCCUAAAUAUGCCCAGCUCAAGCACUGAUGCUGCUAACCAGCUCACUAAAAUGAGAGUUUUCCCAUUGACUCCAGGCCUCAGCCUGAUGUCAUCAGUGUUCGGAGCACUGUGUCUUACCGGGCUCUCACUGCAGUAGUAGGUGGCUGCAGGUUUGUGACUUUGCACACUAUGACCCUAACAACUAGCUUUGGGGGCUCUGGUGACGUGUAGUCAUGUGAGGAGUCUGGGGUGGGCUGACUUGAUGCCCCCCGCCCCCUUGUCUCCUCUUUAAAAGGGAAACCCAAGUCAACCUUCCAAGUCAACCUGUGGCCACGACUGUACCCCUGCCUGUUCUGCAGAAUUAAAUCGGAAGACUGAGAAAAAGCAUACAUUUGCAAGCAACAGAAGAAUGACAGUGCUGGAUGGUGAAGUACCAAGGAGGUCAGAAUCCAUAUGCAACAAAAUCCUUUGAAGCCUUUUGUAUUUUCCCUGGGAAAGAAAAUACAUUGCACUAAUAAAGCACUUUUCAAGGCAUUUUACAAACAUGACCACUCACAGCAUCUCUGUGACAUAGGUCAGCAUUAAUAUCUCUUUUGUAAUCAAACAGAUUGACUGGUGUCCCACAGAGUGAAUGAGUGUCAGUCUGUAGCAUCCAGGGAGGCUCCUUGCUCAAUCAUUAUUUCAAAUGACUCAAAUGUCUAUUUUGUU